GAACCCCUGUGAGGGGAGUGAAAUAGAACCUGAAACCGUGUACGUACAAGCAGUAGGAGCACCUUCGUGGUGUGACUGCGUACCUUUUGUAUAAUGGGUCAGCGACUUAUAUUCAGUGGCAAGGUUAACCGUAUAGGGGAGCCGUAGCGAAAGCGAGUCUUAACUGGGCGCUCAGUCUCUGGAUAUAGACCCGAAACCGGGUGAUCUAGCCAUGGGCAGGUUGAAGGUUGAGUAACAUCAACUGGAGGACCGAACCGACUAAUGUUGAAAAAUUAGCGGAUGACUUGUGGCUAGGGGUGAAAGGCCAAUCAAACUCGGAGAUAGCUGGUUCUCCCCGAAAGCUAUUUAGGUAGCGCCUCGGACGAAUACUACUGGGGGUAGAGCACUGUUAAGGCUAGGGGGUCAUCCCGACUUACCAACCCUUUGCAAACUCCGAAUACCAGUAAGUACUAUCCGGGAGACACACGGCGGGUGCUAACGUCCGUCGUGGAGAGGGAAACAACCCAGACCGCCAGCUAAGGUCCCAAAGUAUUGCUAAGUGGGAAACGAUGUGGGAAGGCUCAGACAGCUAGGAUGUUGGCUUAGAAGCAGCCAUCAUUUAAAGAAAGCGUAAUAGCUCACUAGUCGAGUCGGCCUGCGCGGAAGAUGUAACGGGGCUAAGCAAUACACCGAAGCUGCGGCAAUGUCUUUUAGACAUUGGGUAGGGGAGCGUUCUGUAAGCCGUUGAAGGUGAAUCGUAAGGUUUGCUGGAGGUAUCAGAAGUGCGAAUGCUGACAUGAGUAACGACAAAGGGGGUGAAAAACCUCCUCGCCGGAAGACCAAGGGUUCCUGUCCAACGUUAAUCGGGGCAGGGUGAGUCGACCCCUAAGGUGAGGCCGAAAGGCGUAAUCGAUGGGAAACGGGUUAAUAUUCCCGUACUUCUGACUAUUGCGAUGGGGGGACGGAGAAGGCUAGGUGGGCCAGGCGACGGUUGUCCUGGUUCAAGUGCGUAGGCUUGAGAGUUAGGUAAAUCCGGCUCUCUCUAAGGCUGAGACACGACGUCGAGCUACUACGGUAGUGAAGUCAUUGAUGCCAUGCUUCCAGGAAAAGCCUCUAAGCUUCAGAUAGUCAGGAAUCGUACCCCAAACCGACACAGGUGGUCGGGUAGAGAAUACCAAGGCGCUUGAGAGAACUCGGGUGAAGGAACUAGGCAAAAUGGUACCGUAACUUCGGGAGAAGGUACGCUCUUGAUGGUGAAGUCCCUCGCGGAUGGAGCUGACGAGAGUCGCAGAUACCAGGUGGCUGCAACUGUUUAUUAAAAACACAGCACUGUGCAAAAUCGCAAGAUGACGUAUACGGUGUGACGCCUGCCCGGUGCCGGAAGGUUAAUUGAUGGGGUUAGCGCAAGCGAAGCUCUUGAUCGAAGCCCCGGUAAACGGCGGCCGUAACUAUAACGGUCCUAAGGUAGCGAAAUUCCUUGUCGGGUAAGUUCCGACCUGCACGAAUGGCGUAAUGAUGGCCACGCUGUCUCCACCCGAGACUCAGUGAAAUUGAAAUCGCUGUGAAGAUGCAGUGUACCCGCGGCUAGACGGAAAGACCCCGUGAACCUUUACUACAGCUUGGCACUGAACAUUGAACCUACAUGUGUAGGAUAGGUGGGAGGCUAUGAAGACGUGACGCCAGUUGCGUUGGAGCCGUCCUUGAAAUACCACCCUUGUAUGUUUGAUGUUCUAACUUAGACCCAUUAUCUGGGUUGAGGACAGUGCCUGGUGGGUAGUUUGACUGGGGCGGUCUCCUCCCAAAGAGUAACGGAGGAGCACGAAGGUGGGCUAAUCACGGUUGGACAUCGUGAGGUUAGUGCAAUGGCAUAAGCCCGCUUAACUGCGAGAAUGACGGUUCGAGCAGGUGCGAAAGCAGGUCAUAGUGAUCCGGUGGUUCUGUAUGGAAGGGCCAUCGCUCAACGGAUAAAAGGUACUCCGGGGAUAACAGGCUGAUACCGCCCAAGAGUUCAUAUCGACGGCGGUGUUUGGCACCUCGAUGUCGGCUCAUCACAUCCUGGGGCUGAAGUCGGUCCCAAGGGUAUGGCUGUUCGCCAUUUAAAGUGGUACGCGAGCUGGGUUUAGAACGUCGUGAGACAGUUCGGUCCCUAUCUGCCGUGGGCGUUGGAAGAUUGAAGGGGGCUGCUCCUAGUACGAGAGGACCGGAGUGGACGAACCUCUGGUGUUCGGGUUGUGUCGCCAGACGCAUUGCCCGGUAGCUAAGUUCGGAAUUGAUAAGCGCUGAAAGCAUCUAAGCGCGAAGCGAGCCCUGAGAUGAGUCUUCCCUGACAGUUUAACUGUCCUAAAGGGUUGUUCGAGACUAGAACGUUGAUAGGCAGGGUGUGUAAGCGUUGUGAGGCGUUGAGCUAACCUGUACUAAUUGCCCGUGAGGCUUAACCAUACAACACCCAAGGGGUUUUGUA
rnacentral:rRNA from 1 species